ensembl:lncRNA
UUUUUUUUUCAAAUAGUCUUCAGUUAUUGGCACCAGGCUUAGUACAGUGGCACAGAGCACAACCGAGAAGAAUGGGGUGGGGAAAAAAAUGCUCUUGUAAUGCAUUUCUCAUCUGUCAGUCUUGCUGGUACCUCACCAUCUCUUGUGUCGUGUCACAUCACCGCAGUCAGCUGGGCAGCAGCUGCCUCCCACACUGACCCCUUUGUCUUCCCCAGCUGUUGGCUCAUCCCUCUGGCAGGCUGCUUCUUGUCCAUGAAAGCGGAGCAGGAGAGACAUCCAGCGGCUGUGCCAUCUAUGUGCACCUCAGUGGAGCAGUGCAUGCUGUCAUAAAUCGAAUUCCUUCCUUUCUGCGGGGUUAUAUUCUGUGUACGCUGCUCUGGCAAUGGGCCUCUGCCCCAGAGCCCGGUGAGAGGCGGCAUUAUUGUGUCCUUAGGGGAUCAACAGCUGGCACACUGUUGUGAUUUUACAUUUAAGAGCAUGUGUGAGUCCUAUACUCCUGGCAAACAUAACAUUAACUGAAAAACACAGAACAAGAUUUUUUUCUUUAUGUCAACUGAGUUUUUCAUUUAUAAAUCACAAAAUGGCCAGGCCCUGUCCAAGAGUAGAGCUGGGCUAUUCUGUUGCCCAACCACACACUUUACAAUCCAGCCUGCUUCCUUUUCAUUCCAGAAAAACCACACAGCCCUCAAAAGCUUGACUUUGUCAGUGGACGUGGUUUCUCCAUAAAUGCUGGCUUGGUUUGUGAUGGUAUAAUACUGGAUCAUUUUGUCUGUGUUUCAUAUGAAGCGUUUAUUUAUUAAUAACUGCUAAAAAGAGUGUAAAUGCCUAAAGUCAUGCAUUUUAUUACUAUAAAUAUGGUAUAUUAUGAAUGUGCACAGAGCUGGAGACAAACUCUGCUACCUUCUCAGCUCGGCCGGGACCCUGUGUGUGUAAGAAAACAUUUAUGAGCCAGCUACCAGACAUACAGAAACAGAGAAAAAAUAUUCCAGUGGCUGAAGCAUUACUUAAAUCUCUGCCGUGCAUUUUUCAUGCAACAUACAGACUAACACCUCACUAAUUCCUCACUGUGUUCCCAAAGUGCCACUCCUGGUUCUCCCUUUUUCUCUGAGGCUUAACUUUAUUAUUUUGUUUCUGAGCUCUACAUGUGACUUGGGAUGGGGCUGUUAACUUCCAUGAAGCUACAGUGUUCUGUCUUAACCCAGGGUGUCAUUCCAGUGCUUUGCCAUUCAGACAUGUAUUUUUCACAUCUACUAUCUUCUAUUCAUAUAUUUCCUUUAGCUUUAACUCUACUUGUACUACUUAUUUUUAUCUGCAUAGUAAAUAGAGCUCCCAGCUAAUACUGAUAAAAGUUCCAGAGAAUCAGUUGUAAAUCCUAAUAUUAAGUAGUUUGAUCUUCAUAUAAGAGCAAGGAGAAACACAUUAUUAACUUUAUCAGUAUAAAUUAGUAGUAUCUACAGUAUUUGUCAUUAAAAAUUCCAUGUCUUUCCUGCCACAUCUAAACUAUUCCUUGCCCAUAAAAAUAUAACUUAUUUGGAAAUCCAAUUCACCACAAAAGGGCUUAUAAACUCAAAAAUAUGAACAAAAGAUGAAGGGAAAAAAGGGAAACACAGGGUUAAUUUCUUUUGGUAAAUAUUAGCAAUAAUAAUUUAGAAGUAAUUUAUUUGGAAACAUCAAAUUUGUCACUGGUACAUGUUAAGUAAUUAUUUUUUUAAAAGGCUUGACCCUUACAAACUUGAAACAUCUAUAUGAAAAGAGUAAGAAAUGGGUUAGGUCUUCAAUAUUUAGAGAGGAAUUAAAGGCAGGUAAUUGCUGACUUCAGUGACAAUAAUGCAGGAUAAGGAGUUAGGAAUACAGUUAAGGGAUGUGUUUAAAGAGCUUUCAAAGAGAAAAGUGCACCAGUCAAUGGGGUAAAACCAGAUAAUAUGAUGGAAUGAGCCAAAAUUAUCAGGAUAUGCUGGUUAUGACAGAUAUACCCAAUAAUUAUUAGUAAUUAAUAGCAGUCAGGAGUCAAUGCUGAAACCAGGACUGGUAAUCUCUUUCUGUCUCCUUUUCUCUCUUUAAUUAAUCUCUUCCCUCCUGUCUUCCCUUUCGCCCCACCCCUUUAUCCUAAAUCUACACCAUUUGCUUAUCCAGUAGGUCAGGAACCAACCCACCAAUUUCCCUUCCAAGGGUGCAAUUCACUAAUAAAACCUUCUGGUUGUUUGCAGACCCUGACUUUCACAGAUCCUUCUGCCCACGAGCAUUUACGAAUCUUGGGUGCUCCCUUACUCUCAAGGGUGGGACAUCCCAACCCCACAGGUGGGGCACCACAUGUGUACUGAAAUCUAAGCAGCUCUUCAGUGACUCAAACCCUUGGUGCCAAUUUUCAGCUUUUUUUUUUUUUACCUCUGUUGAGGUCAGGAUUGAAGAGACUUGAGAUGGAAUUUCGUGUUCAGGCUUAGAUGUUUAUUAUUUCUUAUCUAUAUUACAAGUCAUAGUUCUACAGCAUUCUACUGACAAGCUACAAAAUUGCUAACUAUAUCUUAUUACAAAGUCUUUUAAGGCUAAACUAUCCAAUUAAGAAAUGACACCUAAAUUAUUUUCACUUUUAACCCAAUGACUAAUCACUCGAAGUCUGCAAUGCAGACUUUUCUGUCCAAUUACAAAAUACUACCCAAACCCAUGAAGAAGAAGGUGAAGAAGAUCAACCAGCCACCAUCCUAAAACCUCCAUCUUGCCCCAUAUACAUUCCUACAUUCUAAAACCUUAAACUCUGAUUUUCUACCCUAUGAUAUUACACACUUCUAAUCAAACUACACACCCAUAAUACCGGUGCUAUUAAUCAAUUUUGGAAGGCCUUUCCACAGCCUCAGGUCAAAUGCAGUGCUCUCCUGGGAGUCAGAGUCUGUCAGCACAGAAAGUCUAAAAUUCUCAGCACCCAGAACCCCAACAGCCUGGAUGUCAGGGAGCUGUCACACCCCAAGCAAGCCAGCCCUGUUUGCUACAGGCACAGGCACAGAAGGAUGUGCUUUGUCUGAGCAGUCACAGCCAUUGCAUUCCUGCCACUUCCUCCACAGCAAAUCCAGCAGGGAUGAUUUUACAGAAACACUUUGCAACCUCCAGCCCAUAAAUCUGACACCCCUCAAAUUAGCUUUGAUCAGUGCUGAAUUUGCUGCCCAGCUGUUACACUCAAAUGACCUAAGGUUGUCCAUCUGCUGAAUGCUGAACCGUGCCUCUGAAAAGAGAGACAAAACCACAGCCACCUCUUCAUCUGUCUUUACUCAUGAAAAUCAUUAAGUUCUCCCUAACUGCUGUACUCUGGAGAUAUAAAGUACCUCAGAUUACUGCUCUGUUGCAGAAAAAAGUGACACAGGCUGAAGACAAUGUUAAUUUCUUAUGAACUUCUUUAUUUCUAUAAGUACUCCUUUGGAGGACUGCAGAAAAAAACCCAUAUUUUCUUCUAUCAGAAGAGUUAUUAAUUAUCAGGAUAGAUAAUUAAUAACUUGGUAGAAUUUUCACCUGUACAUCACUACAGGUGGAUGGACACCAGACAGUAAAGAAAUUAUUACUUUCUAGCUAUUACAAAAGAUUUUUUUAAUUUUAAGGUUAAAUCAACAGUUGAUUAAUAAUCAAUUCAUUAAUCACUUAGGUCUAAACAUAUUGAAAAACAUAUUCUUAUAUGCCUACAUGAAAAGUAAGUAUUUUUCCUUAGUUUUCUUCUGCUUUCCAGUAAGAAUUUACAAAAAAACUUUAAAAUAGUGAUCUGUAUUUGGCAUGAGGUCACCCUGAUUUUGUUCAGGCCUUUAAAAAUACAACUCCUGAGACAGGAAUAUCUGAAAGAACUUGGGUCCUAUUCUAUUGGGAAAGCUCCUACUGGUUGUUACACCACAUAAUCUUUGCACUGAGGACCUUGUUUCAAUCAAGCCCCAGACACUGUUAUGAAGUAGCUGCUAUUGUCACUCCAUUCUCCAUACAGAAAAUGGCAGGGAAAAAAGCUACAUCCAAAGUUUCAUCAACACUUUACAGUUGAAACAGAGGAAUAACUCAGAUCUCUUGACCUAAUGUAUUGUACUUUUCCAACAAAUUUUCCUCCAUUUGGAGGAAUGGAACAACAAAAGGAACCACAAAAUGAUUGCUGAGACAGUGAAAUAACUCAAACUGAAUUAUUUUAGCAAAGCCCCAGUAUUUGUUUAUGACAACUAAACCUGAAACUGAAUUAUUUUAGCAAAGUCCCAGUUCAAAUCGACUUUGUUACAAAGUUCCUCUGUUAAGAACUUACUCUAGAAUCAUAAAGUGAUUUGGGAUGGGACCUUACAGAUCAUCUAGCACCAAAUCCCCUGUCACAGCCAGGUUGCUCGGAGCCCCAUCCAUCCUGGCUUUGAGCACUUCCAGGGAUGGAGCAUCCUUCCCUGGGCAACCUGUGCCAGUGCCUCACUAAAGAAUUCCAUCCUAGUAUCCAAUCUGAGUCCCCCCUGUGUCAGUAUAAAAUUGUUCAUCCUUGCCCUAUCACUGUUUAAAGAGUUGCUCUCCCUGUUUUGUGCAGGCUCCCUCUAGGCUCUGGAGGGCACACUGGGC